rnacentral:rRNA from 1 species
AGCAGUAGCCGCGGUAAUACAGAGGAUGGAAGCGUUAUCCGGAAUGAUUGGGCGUAAAGCGUCUGUAGGUGGCUUUUCAAGUCCGCCGUCAAAUCCCAGGGCUCAACCCUGGACAGGCGGUGGAAACUACCAAGCUGGAGUACGGUAGGGGCAGAGGGAAUUUCUGGUGGAGCGGUGAAAUGCGUUGAGAUCGGAAAGAACACCAACGGUGAAAGCACUCUGUUGGGCCGACACUGACACUGAGAGACGAAAGCUAGGGGAGAAAAUGGGAUUAGAUACCCCCGUAGUCCCUGUCUCUUAUAC